rnacentral:rRNA from 1 species
GACGAACGCUGGCGGCGUGCUUAACACAUGCAAGUCGAACGGAAAGGCCCUGCUUUUGUGGGGUGCUCGAGUGGCGAACGGGUGAGUAACACGUGAGUAACCUGCCCUUGACUUUGGGAUAACUUCAGGAAACUGGGGCUAAUACCGGAUAGGAGCUCCUGCUGCAUGGUGGGGGUUGGAAAGUUUCGGCGGUUGGGGAUGGACUCGCGGCUUAUCAGCUUGUUGGUGGGGUAGUGGCUUACCAAGGCUUUGACGGGUAGCCGGCCUGAGAGGGUGACCGGCCCAAUGGGGAGGGAGAGACGGCCCAGACCCCUACGGGGGGAAGCAGGGGGGAAUAUUGCCAGAGGGGGGGGAGCCUAAGGGCGCAACGCCGCGGGGGGGAGGAGGGCCUUCGGGUUGUAAACCUCUUUCCCCUGUAACGAAGCGGGAGGAACGGAAAUGGUAAAAGAACCACCGGCUAACUACGG